AAUUCAAGUUAAAGGAACUCUUUGAGUGUAUUCUUUGUUUGAAGCUUAAUUUUAAUGUAAAUUUUAAUUUUGAUGAUGACUAGUAGAGUUCAUGGAAAAAAAUGGUGACUUAUCUAAACCUUCCGGAGGUCCAAGAAGACGCGGAAGGAAUUAGCGGAAAAAUUAAACAGUGAUGGAACAGGCGACUCUCGAUCGGUGGAGAAAUAGCGCAAGGUGUGGAGUGAUUUAAAAGAUAACACUAAAAGAAAGCUGGGUAAAAUAAAAAGAGCUGCAAGUGGCACUGGUGGUGGACCGACCUUGAAAACAGGGUCAUGCAAAUAAUUGGAGUGGAGGCAGCUACUGGCACGACGGUGGUGGAAGCUGGCUUUCAGCAGAUUGAAGAUAGUGGAAAAACGCCCAACACCCAGCUAGAAGAAAUUAUGAUACA